UACGUAGGGUGCGAGCGUUGUCCGGAAUUAUUGGGCGUAAAGAGCUCGUAGGCGGUGUGUCACGUCGGCCGUGAAAACCUGCAGCUUAACUGUGGGCGUGCGGUCGAUACGGGCAUCACUGGAGUUCGGCAGGGGAGACUGGAAUUCCUGGUGUAGCGGUGAAAUGCGCAGAUAUCAGGAGGAACCCCGGUGGCGAAGGCGGGUCUCUGGGCCGAUACUGACGCUGAAGAGCGAAAGCGUGGGGAGCGAACAGG
rnacentral:rRNA from 1 species